AUUGAACGCUGGCGGUAUGCUUAAGACAUGCAAGUCGAACGGUAACAGACCUUCGGGUGCUGACGAGUGGCGGACGGGUGAGUAACACGUGGGAAUCUACCUUGUAGUGGGGGAUAAGCCAGGGAAACUCGGACUAAUACCGCAUACGCCCUAAGGGGAAAGGAGCAAUUCGCUAUAAGAUGAGCCCGCGUCUGAUUAGCUAGUUGGUGAGGUAAAGGCUCACCAAGGCGACGAUCAGUAGCUGGUCUGAGAGGAUGACCAGCCACAUUGGGACUGAGACACGGCCCAGACUCCUACGGGAGGCAGCAGUCGGGAAUAUUGGACAAUGGGGGCAACCCUGAUCCAGCAAUACCGCGUGUGUGAAGAAGGCCUGCGGGUUGUAAAGCACUUUUGUCAGGGAAGAAACGGUUCUGGCUAAUAUCCAGAGCUAAUGACGGUACCUGAAGAAUAAGCACCGGCCAACUACGUGCCAGCAGCCGCGGUAAA
rnacentral:rRNA from 1 species